AGAUGCAGGGAGCCAGCUUGUAGCACAAGAGGCGGUGAGGAAACCUUCAACGCUCCGCCGCCCGCCUGCACGCACAGGAGAGCCCAUCUCUAGUUGCCUGAACUGCAGCCGGAUCACAGCUCUGACAGACCGGCUGAGCUCUCUGGAGGCCAAGGUCCAAUUACUCACUGUCCCGGCCUCCGUAUCACAGCGCCUCCCUCAGGUUAAAGGAGAAACUGCACCAGAGGCCUCAUUACUGAUUGGUGCUGUGCAGGCUCAGGGAGCUCCUGGUGAGCAGGGACCU